rnacentral:sRNA from 1 species
UCCUAAACCCGAUUGUCGCGAUCAUACUUUUUGUUAUAAUAAUUUCAACGAAGCACCAACUUUGACAAAAAGAUUAAAGCAAAAGCGGGACUAAAG